AGAUUGAACGCUGGCGGCAUGCUUUACACAUGCAAGUCGAACGGGCUGAGGGGGCAACUCCUCAGUCAGUGGCGGACGGGUGAGUAAUGUAUCGGAACGUGUCCCGUAGUGGGGGAUAACCCGGCGAAAGCCGGACUAAUACCGCAUAUGCUCUACGGAGGAAAGCGGGGGACCUGAAAGGGCCUCGCGCUAUGGGAGCGGUCGAUGUCCGAUUAGCUUGUUGGUGGGGUAAUGGGCUUACCAAGGCGACGAUCGGUAGCUGGUCUGAGAGGAUGAUCAGCCACACUGGGACUGAGACACGGCCCAGACUCCUACGGGAGCAGCAGUGGGAAUUUUGGACAAUGGGGGCAACCCUGAUCCAGCCAUGCCGCGUGCGGGAAGAAGGCCUUCGGGUUGUAAACCGUCUUUAGUCGGUAAGAAAGGCCGAGGUAGAAUACCCGUGUCUUGUACGGUACCGGCG
rnacentral:rRNA from 1 species